rnacentral:lncRNA from 10 species
CAUGUUUCUCUACUUUCACAUGAGUUAUCUCAGCUCUGUAGUCACAUUCCUGCAUGACCUGAACCUAUUACUUCAGGACUGAUUGAGCAAUGAAUUUUAAAAGUCAAGAAUGAGAAUAAACUAGCAGAGUUUUUUAAAGAAGAUAUAAACCUGUAUUAGUUACGUAUUGCUGCAUAACAGAGUAUCCCAAAACUUAGCCGCUUAAAGCAAACUUUUAUCAUCUCAUGGUUUUUGUGGGUUUGGAAUCUGGGUGCCAGUUAUUAGUCGGGUGACUCUGGCUCAGGAUUCCUCAUGAGGUUGUGAUCAAGCCAUCAGCUGAAGCUGCAUCAUUUCAGGCUUGAUAGGAGGAAGAUCCAUUUCCAGCUCACUCAGGUGGCCAUCUGCUGUCUUUCCUCAAUGUUGUCUGGAGAAGUCCGUUCCUUGCCAAGUUAGCCUCACAACAUGGCAGCUGACUUCUCCCAGAGCAAGUGUGCCAGAGAGCAAGAGAAAACACAGCCUUGUAACCUCAUAUCAGAACUGAUAGCCCAUCACUUCUGCCCCAUUCUAUUUGUCAGAAAUGAGUCACUAGGUCCAGCCCACAUAUAAGGGGAGGAGUUUACCUCUAGGGCAUGAAUAUUAGGAAGCAAGGAUCAUUGGGGCUCUCUCAGAGUCUGCCUCACACAGUAUCCAUAUACUUCUGUGAACCAGGUGAGCUAAGAUACAACAGGUCUUAGUCAGCGAAGCUUUCAAAGGCCCCUCCGUCCAGCAUGGCCUGCAUCCUCAGUGUUCAGUGAUCCAGUAGGCAGAACUUGACCAGCCAUGUUAGGGGUUAGGUGAUAAGUGCAAGGGCUGGGCUCCAUGGCUCAUGCCUGUAAUCCCGGCACUUUGGGAGGCUGAGGCAGGAGGAUGACUCACAGCUAGGAAUUGAAGGCUGCAAUUAGCUAUGAUCACACACUGUACUCCAUCCUGGGUGACAGAGUGAGAUCCUGUCUUUAAAAAGUUAAAAAUUAAAAAAAAUAAAUAAAAGAGAUGGGUACAGGGCCUAAGUAAGCUGGAUUGUGACUUAAAAGGCUGGUGUCCUCAGGUACACGUCUAUUACAGAGCUGGUGGGUUUCCCCCGGCCUUUUUCAGCUGGCAUGGCUGUAAGCUUGUUCUUCCUUCCAUGGUAGGGACAAAUGUUGCCAUACCAGUCCUGGGCUGACUAUCUCUGGACUUCUUAAGUAUAAGAGAGAAAAUACAUUCUCAUUUUUGUUUAAGCCAUUUCUACAUUUUUCUACUAUGCCUAACUGAAUGUAAUCCUACCUAAUGAUGUGGCUUUGUUCAAGUCCAAAUCCUAAACUUAUGCAAUUCAAAUCUAGUCUUGCUGUGUCCUGAGCUGCCCCACUACUUCCUCCUAGAUGCUGCUUCUAGUGGAGGACGUAUUGUCUCUAAGUGUAGGACAAAAGUUAUGCAAACAUUGCCAGGUUUCCACUGAUAAUGGGUAAGGACCAGGAUGUGUUGAUGGACUGUGUCCAGAGUAUGUUGCAAUUUGCAGACAGCUGUAUGCUCCCGCUGAACCACAGGGUUGGCCCUGGAGUGGGGCAGGGGCUAGUCCUCUGGUUCCUCUUCAGGUAACAGGACGAGCAAGAGGCUGUGGGGCCCUGAUCUAAGUUCUCCUGCCAUCUGCCCUGGGUGCUGCCUAAGUCCAAAGGCCUGACAGUUACAAGACCUGUACAUUAAGUCCCUGUCUAACUGAGAUCUGCAGAUCCAGCAGGUAGCUUUAAAAACAAGGAGUAGGAGUGGCCAGGGAUGAGGAAGUGCAGAUAAAAGACAAACGAGUUCUGAAAGUAGGCAGGCAAUGGACACAAAUAAAAAAAUCUAUAUAGGCUGGUGCAAGUGCAGUGGUGUUUACAACGAAUCGAUCACUACCAGUUACAGAUUUCUUUGUUCCUUCCCUAUUCCCAUUGAUUCACUUGACUGGCCUUAAAAAAAAUCUGUAUAAAGCACCAACGUGGACAGUGUUUGCGUUGUGUGUGCAAUGCCAGCCAGAGGCCCUGGGAAAACAAAGGCCAUGACUGUUUUCUUUCACUGCCUCUGCUCCGUGGUGUCAGUGACUUUAUCUAGUGAAACCCAUACCCAGGCUUACACCAGGGCUGUGCUCAGCUCCCACUCUCCUUUUCAUAGCAUGCCAAGAAAAUCACUUGCCUCAGGGCACCCAUAGGGGCAUUUCCAAGGUAUUUUGAGCCAAUUAUAGCAGUGGAGAACCAAGGGUAUCCACCAAUUUCUUAGACCCAAAGUAUUCCUAUUGUAAAAUAUAUUCCCUGCCUUGUGGAAAGGGCAGGAAUUCACCUUAGAGAACAA